AUUAUUAAGAAACUUGUAAAAAAAAAAUUAGUUAAAACGUGCGUGAUAAAAUGUGCUUGCCUUCUUCAUGCGUCGUUGCCGAUCAGCGUAUGACAUUCGCGAAUAUCGCGAGAGUAAUUUAAAACGCUGAUCUAGAUAUACUCUCGCGGUACUCUGAUGUCAUACGCUGAUAAGCACUGUGCGCAGCGGCGCAUAAACUUGAACACACGACGUGAGAUUUGGCGGGGCUGAAGCUCUCUGCAUUUAGGCAGAGUUUCCUUAACAGGACUACAACAGUCGCGUACAUAACGAGCUGCACGACAGAAAUCAGCUGAGAUUUCCCCAGAGGAGACGGACCUCCGUCACAUCCCCCCACUGUAACCUCUAUGACCUUGUUCCCAUGGCAACACAAGAAUGCUGACGGUGCAGGUUUACAGUUUCUGUCAUCUCUAAUCUGUCUUGGGGUGCCCUUCAACUGCUCUAUACUUUUCUGGACUGGAGUUUGGAACCAUGUGUGUUGGAUUCCCUUGCAGACAUCGGAGAAGCUGAGAAAAUCUGUCUGUUUGCUCAGUAGCAGGAUUACGAUUACAGAGAGAGAGAUAGAGAAGAUGAGACUGAGAACCAAUAAGGUCACACUUGCUCAAGGUCACCCUGAGAAAACCAUCUGAUGGCAAUCAAGACUCAUCAAGACUGCCCUUCACUAAACCACACCUACAGUACUCUCACCCACUGCUCAACCGGGAAUACAAAAAAACAAAGAGUGAUUGAGAAGGAAUACAUCACGAAAAGACAAGUGUAUGAUUGCUGGAGAAAUGUUCAGAGAGGAAAUUCCCAUGGCAACCACUGGAAACCACAUGCUUUCACCAUAGCAACUAAGCCUGGGCUGGAAUGCUAAUGUCAGAGUGUCUGAGUGGAGGGAGAGAGAAAAAAUGAACAACAUUCAAUACACAGUUCAGAAUGUCAUGUAUAUGUAUAUACUGCUAUUUGUAGUUAAUAAAUGCAUACAGAACAGACAUGUUAAGAGUGUUUGCAUGCAAUGUUUACACGGUAA